CUCACCUGGCCCAGCACUGCCUGGCUGCCUUCUUGAGUCUCUUCACACUCCCAUACUGCUCUUUUCUCCCCACCAGUCUCUCCCUCUGUGCGUGGAAGGAGAACAUCCAACACAUUUUCACCAACACAUGACCAGCUAUUGUCAACUUCUGCGAUCUGAAACAGACACAGGCACAUAGGAGUUGUAUGAAGAUUUGAUCAAAGGGUAGCUGCUUUGAUAGUGAUGUUUGUUGGCUGUUUUAAAAUACGUCUUGAGUUUUUACCUUCUUCAUGGCAACAUGUGCUUCAUCAGUGUCGGAGGGAACGCGAAACACUUUGUGAUAGAGGAGACGCACAUCUUCAGAGGAAAACUCUGCUCCGACAGACACACCCAGAGAUCGGUACAGACCAGCGAUACAAUCCUGAGGGAAGAUACAAGGACAUUAGUUGCAGUUUACACAUGGAAAACCAAUGCAGUUCUCACCCAACAUCAAAACAUCUUACCUGCUCCAUGUUUUUACCACUGUGGGCUGAUAAAUUAUACAGGCUAUUACUAUGGUUACAGCAGUCCUCUGCACAACAGCUGGAUCAGGUUACCAGGCAACAAAAGUGACAGCGUAUGUAGACAGAGAGGAGUGAAAUGUGAUGACCAUGACCAUGUGACACAUUACACCUGUGUGAAAAGUGCUCUGUAACAUUGAACUACUAGUGAAAGUUGGUGGAUCCCAGCUUGUAAAUUGUUUAUUAUGUUGCGUGUCUCAUACAGUAUAUGUCAUCAUGAAUCUUAUAACACCCACUGGAUUUCCUACUAAUUUCCUAGGAAGUUUCCUGGAAAGAACCAUAUAACUAAUUAUAAAUAAAAUAGAAACUUAUCUGACUGUUCUUGCAGUUGUUUCCCUGAAAGAAGUGCUUCAUUAAAUGUGAAUAUUCAGCCCUUAUUCAUUUACUAUUGGAAACUUUAUUCUUUGUAUAGUUAUUUCACGUUUUUGCAUAUUCAGCCUGCUUUGCACUCACUAAAAUGCUCUCUAGGUUACACAACUAGUUAAUUGGAAUAAAUUAAUUAGAAACGUACCAAUUGAACACUUUGUCUACAUUAUUUUUACCUAUAAUUAGUACGAAAUUACAUAAUUUCUUUCCAGGAAACUUCCUAGGAAAUUAAUAAGAAAUUACAGACCCGUAAAAUAAAGUGUUACCAAGAUCAUACUCAUGUCUUCAUGAAUAAUGAAUUUAAUCUUUGAACAGAAAAUGAAAUACCACAAAUAUUAGUGAAGCCUUUGUUUAUUUGUAUGAUGAGGAAUGAAAAAAAGAGUACCUGAGUUUAUGUGGCUUACUGUAUAUACAGUCAGACAUCACACAGUGCUGAAAUAAACCUGUACAGUAAUCAAA